CAGUCGCCGCGGUAAUACGUAGGUGGCAAGCGUUGUCCGGAAUUAUUUGGCGUAAAGGGCUCGCAGGCGGUUUCUUAAGUCUGAUGUGAAAGCCCCCGGCUCAACCGGGGAGGGUCAUUGGAAACUGGGAAACUUGAGUGCAGAAGAGGAGAGUGGAAUUCCACGUGUAGCGGUGAAAUGCGUAGAGAUGUGGAGGAACACCAGUGGCGAAGGCGACUCUCUGGUCUGUAACUGACGCUGAGGAGCGAAAGCGUGGGGAGCGAACAGGAUUAGAUACCCGCGUAGUCCCUGUCUCUUAUAC
rnacentral:rRNA from 1 species